rnacentral:lncRNA from 1 species
CCAAUGAAUCCCCAAAAUCCAAAACAUCACAUGUCCGGCUAAGCUAAGGCAACAAAGGAAACAACCAGAAUGACGAUCCGAUUCCUAAACGGCAAAACACAAGCAGAACUCAAAAGUAAACCUCCCACAGAUCGAACCAAAACAGACCAAGAGAGACCAUUAACACAAGCUUCUCACAGCCCUUUGGAGAAACCAUAACCCUCUUGGCACAUAGCCUCCUGCCCAGUAGAGCUCCACCAAGGUGGAAUAGGAAAUAGGAGAGAACACAACGAGAAAGCAAGUGCAAAGAAGCCAAUAAAGGAAUAGAAUCAGCGCAUGGAUAUAACUAAAUCCAAUUUGGGCAUGUAUUUUCUGGAUUGAAGAUGAAGAAGAGAACAGGAAAAUAUGUGUUUUCUAGGUUCAAGAUGAAUAAAACGAGAGAAAAAGAUUCACGUAUAUCAC